UACGUAGGGGGCUAGCGUUGUCCGGAAUCAUUGGGCGUAAAGAGCGCGUAGGCGGCUAGAUAAGUCCGGUGUGAAAGUCACAGGCUCAACCUGUGAAUGCCGCUGGAAACUGUCUGGCUAGAGUCCGGAAGGGGCGAGUGGAAUUCCUGGUGUAGCGGUGAAAUGCGCAGAUAUCAGGAGGAACACCAAUGGCGAAGGCAGCUCGCUGGGACGGUACUGACGCUGCGGCGCGAAAGCGUGGGGAGCAAACAGG
rnacentral:rRNA from 1 species